ensembl:lncRNA
CGUGGAGCUGCAUCGGGGAGGGUCAUGUUGGGUGUUAGGAAAAGGUUCUUCACCUUACGGUGUUCAGGCACUGGAACGGGCUCCCUUGUGAGCAAAAUACAACUUUUUCUUCACAUUCAAAAUAAUAAUUGAACAUGUUCAGGGUUCUACUUCUGCUUUCCUUCCAUCUUUCCAGAUAGUAUUCUCAGUACUAGCGCUGCUCCAUCUCAGAUGAAUACUCAAAUGUAAUUUCAAGCAAGAUAAUAUCUCUAAUUCUCUCAUUACCUUCUUACUGACACUAUUCAUGAUUGAUUUUUGAUAUGAAGAGGAAUAUCUCUCACAAGCAAGAUGGACAAUGACUUAAAUGAGAGUAGCACAUCGCAAUUCAUAAAAUGAAAGAUGGUGAUUCAUAUCCUCAUUCUAACUCGGGGUUAGCAGCGGACUCGGGUCUGUGUUUUCACAUCCUGGAUGGUUUGUCUUUGGUUUUGAGGGAUAUAUGGGACAUUUUUCUCUCCAUCAGCCAUAUCUAAGUGACUUCAUACUGACAAUGAAUUUUCCAGAAGAAAAUGUUAUCAAGGGUGGUGUGGGUUUUUCGUUUGUUUGUUUUGUUUUUCUUUAUUUGAUUCAUUUAUUUGCAUUGGUUUAUACUCAUUUCCUUUCUCCCUUCUAGUCCACAUUUUGAAGAAUCACCCUUUCAAAUUAAAUAUCAUUGGUUGUGGCACCAAGCUGAUUGGAGUUCAAGAAGCAUUUGAGCAACACAUUCAGAUGAAGAUUUUGAAUUUGGGUGAUCCUGUGAGGAGUCAGGAGUUGGGCUUGAUGAUCUUUGUGGUUUCCCUUCAACUCAGGAUUCUCAAUGAGUCUAUGAAAAAAAAAACCUCUGUGCUACAGGAAAGCUCAGGUGAUGGCUCCCUGUGUUAGUUUGCCAGGGCAUGGUGUGAUUCCUACAAACUAAAUGAAUUGGUAUUAUCUCAGCAGUCCCAGAUGUUUAUGGUAUAGGGACACGGGUUCAAGUGCUACUAUAUUGCUCCUUAGGAGACAAGUGAAUCUUUUCAGACUCCUUUAGGUUUCUGCUUACUACUAAUGCUACUGCUGUGGCUUGACUGAACAAGGGUAAGACUGUGGGUGAAACAGGACAGUUACUGUGGUUUCCCUCACCUCCCAGCCUACAGCUCCCCGUCAGAGUUAUAAACCAAGACUAAUUAACCUGAAGAUAAUCCAGCUGCCCUUUGUAGGUUGGGCUGUUGGUAUAUAGACCUCUUAUAGGUAGGCUGUGUGUAGGCAAUUAUGAAGUCAAAGGAGGUAAAGCAAAUAUUUAUUGGAGUACCAAUCCCAAUGACUCCCUGCUGAUGCAAGGCAGUGUUGUUUUCUACGUUACAAGACUGUAGCAUGGAAAGGCUUGGUAGCUAACACAAUGUUCAUCCAGCCAUGGUCUACCAGGAUAGGCAGCCGAACUAGUUAUUCAAGCUUCAGACUAGUUUUCUAACUACUACUCUUCUUCUUCCUAUCUAUUUAUCUUUUUGUAUCUGCAUUCCACUGCUCUCUUAUUUUCCAUGAUUGAUGACUUUAACUAUUGGCUCAAGAAUGUGAUCACAUGUACCAUGUCAAUGAAUCUAUUCCACCUUUAUAAGAAAAUUUCAAAACCUGAAUCUGCAGUCCUUGUCCAUACUCAGUAAAAGAAGCCAUCAGACACACCGCUGUUAAGUUUCAACUUGAUGCACCUAUAACGUAUUUUAAAUCAAAAUUAUCUGAUCCAAAAUAUUUUAUUUUAAGGACUAUUAUCAUAUGUUUUUCUGUCAAGUAAUUCCUGUUUCAAUGGUAAAUAGGAAACAUGCAAAUAGAUGUUUAGCUUCUCAAUGUGACCUGUUGUGGCUCACAGCCAUCUGUAUUUACAGUAACAGAUCGCCCACAAGCAUUAGCUUUAAAUAAAAUAAU